CCUACGGGUGACAGCAGUGGGGAAUAUUGGGCAAUGGGCGCAAGCCUGACCCAGCAACGCCGCGUGAAGGAAGAAGGCUUUCGGGUUGUAAACUUCUUUUCUGAGGGACGAAGAAAAUGACAGUACCUCAGGAAUAAGCCACGGCGAACGACGUGGCAGCCGCCGCGGUAAUACGUAGGGGGCAAGCGUUAUCCGGAUUUAUUGGGUGUAAAGGGCGUGUAGGCGGGAAAGCAAGUCAGAUGUGAAAACUCAGGGCUCAACCCUGGGCCUGCAUUUGAAACUGUGUUGCUGGAGUGCUGGAGAGGCAAGCGGAAUUCCGUGUGUAGCGGUGAAAUGCGUAGAUAUAAGGAGGAACACCAGUGGCGAAGGCGGAUUGCUGGACAGUAACUGACGCUGAGGCGCGAAAGCGUGGGGAGCAAACAGGAUUAGAUACCCGUGUAGUC
rnacentral:rRNA from 1 species